GAAGUGCGUGAUAUUGUCCAAGACUAUUGAGUUUUGGAGUCUGUAUGCAUUGACUUGGUGGAUUGAAGCAUCGAAGUUCUACACUGAUUAUGAUCAAGUUGCCCAGCAGGACGUUCCAUCAUACUUAGCCUUACUAAUGCACUAGUAUGCCAUGCUUGUUAGUGCUUCAAAUGAAGCAGAACUCUCUAACACAAAGCCCUGUUAAUCGCCUGUUCUCGGUUUAGAUGGCAGUUGUGUAGAAUCAGUGUAAGAAAUU
rnacentral:lncRNA from 1 species